rnacentral:lncRNA from 10 species
GCUGGAGUGCAGUGGCAUGAUCUCAGCUCACUGCAACCUCCACCCCUCGGGUUCAAGCAAUUCUCCUGCCUCAGCCUCCUGAGUAGCUAGGACUACAGAUGCCUGCCACCACGCCUGGCUAAUUUUUUUGUAUUUUUAGUAGAGACAGGAUUUCAUCAUAUUGGUCAGGCUGGUCUCGAACUCCUGACCUCAGGUGAUCUACCCGCCUUGGUCUCCCAAAGUGCUGGGAUUACAGGUGUGUGCCACCGUGCCCGGCCAUCCUUUUACUUAUAAUAGCACCCUGUUUAUAUUUGGUGCAACAGCUCCUCACCCACUCUUGGCCUACAUGGCUCUGGUGAUACAAAAUCAACACCAUCCCCUAACCCAUAGUUAGACAGGUUGUCACAUGACCACGAUCUGGCCAAUUGGUAUCUUCUAUCCUGGCCCCAGGGUGAAAUGUUCAGUUAUGAGUCAGACACCCCACUGGGAUCACUGAGACUCAGUCCUGAGACUUAUCGGCACAAGCUCCUCUCUGUCUUCUAAACUCGAAGCUGAAAAUGAUGUGGACCCAGUGUUGCUGCGGUCACCACACACAGAGAGGCUGCCUGAGAACGAGGCUGAGAUGAGAGAGAAGAGUACCAAAUACUGACGGCACACUGGGAUAGCGCCAGGGACUGGUCCAUGAUAGAAGGGACUUCUCUGAAACUUUCCUGGAAGAUCCGGCAACACCAGGCCUUCUUUCUUGCAUGGUCACAGGAGAUGAGAGCAGAGUUGUCUAAACAAGGUCGAAGAAGAAAUCAAAGAUAAAUUAGCAUUGUGAACUGAUGCAAAAGAAAACACAACACAUCAAAAUGGGUGGGAUGCAGGGAAUGCAGAACUUAGAGGGAAAUCCAUAGCACUCAACUAAAGUAGGAGGAAAAAAGUGCUCAAGUCAACAACCUCAGCUUCCUUCUUUCUUAAGAAACUACAUAAAGAAGAGAAAGUGAAACUCGGAGUAAGCAGAAGAAAAAAAUAAUAAUACCAAAAUUUUAAAGAAGUCAUACUAAUUCUACAUGAACUCUUCCAGAAAGCUAAAGAAGAGGGAUGGAAUCCUAUGAGAUCAGCAUUCUAUAAAUCAAACCAAAGACAUUGCAAGAAAAGAAAACUUAUGAACAUAGAUGCAAAUUUCUUAAAACAAAAUUUUAGCAAAUUGAUUUCAAUUAUAUACAAAAAGAAUAAUAUAUUUUAACCAAGAAGGCUUUAUCCCAGAAUUGCCAGAUUAGUUUAACACUUGAAAACUUUCAGGGUGGGGCACAGUGGCUCACGCCUGUAAUCCCAGCACUUUGGGAGGCCAAGGCAGGCAGAUCACCACCCGCCUGACCUACAAGGUGAAACCCCGUCUCUGCUAAAAAUACAAAAAAAUUAGCUGGGCGUGGUGGCAUGCCUGUAGUUCCAGCUACUCGGGAGGCUGAGGCAAGAGAAUCACUUGAACCUAGGAGGUAAGGUUGCAGUGAGCCGAGAUUGCGCCACUGCCCUCCAGCCUGGGGGACAGAGACACGCUCCGUCUCAAAAAAAAAAAAAAAAGAAAGAAAGAAAGAAAGAAAGAAAAAGAAAAGAAAAGAAAGAAAAAUCUCGGCUGCACAUGGUGGCUCAUGCCUGUAAUCCCAGCACUUUGGGAGGCCGAGGUGGAAGGAUUGCUGGAGCUCAGGAGUUCAAGACCAACCUAGGCACCAUGGUGAAGCCCCAUCUCUAUAAAAAUAAAAAUAAAAAUAAAAAAAUAAAAAAAAUUAGCCAGGUAUGGUGGCACAUGCCCAUAGUCCCAGCUACUUGGGGUGGGGUUAGGGGUGGAGGGAGGUUGCUGAAACAGGAAGAUCACUUGAGCCCAGGAGGUUGAGGCUGCAGUGAGCCGUGUUCGCUGCAUCACUGCUCCAGCCAGAGUGACAAAGUGAGACCCUGUCUCCCAGAAAAAAAAAGCAUUUGAAAAUCAAUCAAUUUAAUUCAUUAUAUUAACAAAUUAAAGGUCAGGUGUGGUGGCUUACACCUGUAAUCCCAGCAGUGUGGAAGGAUCACUUGAGGUCAGGAGUUCGAGACCAGGCUGGCCAACAUGGUGAAACUCCAUCUCUACUAAAAAUACAAAAAAAUUAGCCGAGUGUGGUGGCAGGUGCCUGUAAACCCAGCUACUCGGGAGGCUGGGGCAGGAGAAUCUCUUGAACCCCGGAAGUGGAGGUUACAGUGAACCAAGAUCACGCCACUGCACUCCAGCCUGGGUGACACAGCGAGACUCCAUCUCGAACAAAUGGAAAAACAAACGAACAAAAAUUUAAAAAGAAAAAACAUGUGACCAGCUCAAUACAUACAAAAUAGAGCAUUUAACAAAAUCUAACCUCCAUUCCUGAUGAAAAUUUUCAACAAACUAGGAACAGAUGGGAACUUCUACAACCUGAUAAUGGAUAACUGAAAACCCUACAGCUAGCAUCAUACUUAACGGUGAAAGACUGAUUGCUUUCCCCAACAUCAGAACAAGGAAAGAAUGUCUGCUGUUACCACUUAUAUCCAACACUGAACUUGGUAAGAUGUAAAUUUUCCCCAAUUUGAUCUAUAGCUAUAAUAAAUCCAAGUCAAAAUCCCAGCAGGCUUUUUAUAUUACACAUUAAAUCAUACAUAUAUGUAUACAUUAACAUUUACAUUUUACAUUAUAUUAUUCAUUUUUACAUUAACAAUGUGGUUUUUAAAAUUGACAAGCUGAUCAUAUAAGUCAUUUAGGGAAAGGCACGAUGGCUCACGCCUAUAAUCCCAGCACUUUGGGAGGCCGAGGUGGGCAGAUCACUUGAGAUCAGGAGUUCAAGACCAGCCUGGCCAAGAUGGCGAAACCCCAUCUCCACCAAAAAUACAAAAAUUAGCUGGGCGUGGUGGCGCAUGCCUGUAGUCCCAGCUACUUGGGAGGCUGAGGCAGGAGAAUGGCUUGAACCCGGGAGGUAGAGGAUGCAGUGAGCUGAGACCGUGCC